rnacentral:rRNA from 1 species
AACGAACGCUGGCGGCAGGCCUAACACAUGCAAGUCGAGCGAGCAUUUCGGUGCUAGCGGCGGACGGGUGAGUAACGCGUGGGAACGUGCCCUUUUCUGCGGAAUAGUCCUGGGAAACUGGGGGUAAUACCGCAUACGCCCUUUUGGGGAAAGAUUUAUCGGGGAAGGAUCGGCCCGCGUUGGAUUAGGUAGUUGGUGGGGUAAUGGCCCACCAAGCCGACGAUCCAUAGCUGGUUUGAGAGGAUGAUCAGCCACACUGGGACUGAGACACGGCCCAGAAUCCUACGGGAGGCAGCAGUGGGGAAUCUUAGACAAUGGGGGCAACCCUGAUCUAGCCAUGCCGCGGGAGUGAUGAAGGCCUUAGGGUUGUAAAGCUCUUUCAGCUGGGAAGAUAAUGACGGUACCAGCAGAAGAAGCCCCGGCUAACUCCGUG